UGGAGUUUCAGGCAAAUUACUAUUGUCUGGCAUGAAAAAUGGAUGAAAUCCUGGAUGACAGAUGAGAGCAGAAGCUUGAGAGGGACUGUAAACCAUCAAGAGCUUGAUAGCAGCUAAAGAUAAUUAAUUCUGUUAGAAACUAAUAAAUAAAGAUAGCAAUAUGUUGCAUUAUGCUUAGCAUGUCUGGUACCGCAAAACCGAGAAUCAGAGAAAAAAUGAAGUAUGAGUCAGCAGUCCUAGGUGGAAAAGUCACCCCAAAAGGUGACUCUGAAUUGCUUUUUUCAUGAAAUCAAGUGCUGCAUUAGACCUAAUCGCUGGCCUUCAGCUCACAACUAUGCGGUCAUCGCUGGCGGGGAAAGGUGGAUUAUCAGCUUUCAGUUGGUUAAGAGUCAGGCGGCACCCACACGGUGAAGUGGGUCAAUAUUUGGACAAUCGAUUUUCUCCCUCUCCCUCAGUCUUCAGAUGUUAAAGGGCCAGGAAGAGGGCAGAAGGCGACUGCAAGUGAAGGCCAACAGAAAAGAACAAGGGCACCAACGUGAGGUACUUUUAUUAACUUGUCACAAGGAGACCAGAUUUUUGUUAUUAAAAUCAUGAUUUCAGGAUUGGCUAGGCAAACUAAAAUGUACUUAGUGCACCUUCUUUCCUUUUUAAACAUAGAAACAGAUGAUCAGUAAGAGUGAAAAUACCGGUAAAUGAAUAUGGUAAUUAUUUCUUAAAUACGGAUUCUAUCAGAGCUAUUGCACUCAGUACUUCAAAGGUUCCUUUGAGAUCUCAUCUUUGUAUAAAAAUUCAAUUAAGUCUUUUUUCCCAAAAAUAUGCUGUCUUCCUUUAAAUUAUGAUCUCUUAAUGAAAAAAAUGUUGCCAUAUCAUAUAAACAAGUGUAUAUAUUAAAAUUAUCUGAAAAACUCCUAAACUCUAUAAAUUCUCAUGAGCACUUUCUUUGUGCCAGGCUCUAGGUCCAUAAUCUGGUGUAAAGGAACUGACAGCCCAGUGAAGGGGAAUGGACACCUGAACAAAAGAGGCUGUUGGAAGGACGGCCCUCAAAGAUCCAAGGACAAGCAGCGCAGUGAAACCCUUGGCUUCCCUCUCUUCUCAUCACACAUGUCGGUCUCGUCUCUAGUGUGAUUCUGGGUCUGCAUCAUUCUGGGUCGAGGGUGCUGCACCAUACCACAGCCCACACAGAUGUAAACAUCACACUCCUCCAUAUCUGUACCUCUUUCUCCUCCUGCCCAUGAUAAGUCUUCCAUGGAUUCCAGAGCCAAAUCUCUACCAAAAUAUUAACCUGGGAAUCCAAGAGAGACAGCCCACAAUUCUCUACUGGGAUAAUAGCGACUUUACCUGUAUGCACUGGAAACGUUAAAAUGAGUUUCUUUGGUGUCUGUAACUAGUCUCUUUUCAAGACACAUUAUCUAAAAUCCACCACCUCUAAUCCUCCGGCUUCAGGGGAGCAUGUGAACAGAUGGCUUUACAAUGGGAAGAUCUGAGAGGUAAACAAGGAGGCCAGACCAAAAUACUUCUGGUUUUACUUUAAUACAAAGGCAAAUAAAAUUCCAUAGACUAAAGUUAAGUGGGGAAAGCACAAGCAGAUUCAAAGGAUUUUCCUCAAACCUUCCGUCCACAGUCUGUUCCCACCUGACUCCUUGUUGGCAGGAUUUUCCCUCACGACACGUCUCACACGUCUGCUCUUACGAAAGGAAAGGGGAAGACAAUACCCACCUAAUGUUUUUCCCUCUGAUGUAUUUUUUAAUUAAUAUUUUGUGAUUGUCUCGUUACAAGUGCAGUAUAUACUCACCAGAAAACACAGCAAAAAAAUAACAUUUCUGGACAUCAACAGUCC
ensembl:lincRNA